GAAUGAAUGAGCAGAUUUUGAAGACAAAGCUAAGCUGUGGUGAGAAACAACGAGUAGCAUUAGUUCAUGCAUUUCCUGUAAACUCCACCUAUUUUGUUAUGUGAUGAGGCAACAAAUGCUAUUCAUAGCACAAGAGAGGCAGAGAUUCUGAUUGCAUUGAGGUCACUUGCCAAUAACCGAACCCCAGUCUUUGUUGCUCAUAGGCUUACAACUGCAAUUUGCAGUGU